rnacentral:rRNA from 1 species
UACGUAGGGGGCAAGCGUUGUUCGGAUUCACUGGGCGUAAAGGGCGCGUAGGCGGCCUUCUAAGUCAGACGUGAAAUCCCCAGGCUUAACCUGGGAACUGCAUCGGAUACUGGAUGGCUUGAAUUCGGGAGAGGGAUGCAGAAUUCCAGGUGUAGCGGUGAAAUGCGUAGAUAUCUGGAGGAAUACCGGUGGCGAAGGCGGCAUCCUGGACCGACAUUGACGCUGAGGCGCGAAAGCCAGGGGAGCAAACGGG